UUAAGCAUAUCACUAAGCGGAGGAGAAGAAACUAACCAGGAUGCCCCUAGUAAUGGCGAAUGAAGCGGGCAUAGCUCACGCCGCCAAUCUGAAGGCCUWAUYYUWWUACAGAAGCCUUCCGAAUUGUAGUCUAGAAAGGCGCCAUCGGCCGCGUCCGUCGCUCAAAUCCCUUGGAACGGGGUAUCGGAGAAGGUGAGAAUCCUGUGCCGUGGCGGAUAGCGGUCGCACGAUGCGUCCUUGUCGAGUCGGGUUGCUUGGGAUUGCAGCUUGAAGUGGGUGGUAAAUUCCAUCUAAAGCUAAAUACUGGCGAGAGACCGAUAGCGAACAAGUACCGUGAGGGAAAGAUGCAAAGAACUUUGAAAAGAGAGUUAAAGAGUGCUUGAAAUCGGCAAGAGGAAACCCGUUUGCGCCCGGCCUCGCGUCGUCGACUCAGCCGUUCUUUUGAGCGGUGCACUUUGUCGUCGCGGGUCAGCGUUCGCUCUUUCGGCGUGACACGGCGUACCGCAGGGCCUUUUGGCGAUCGGUUCGCACUCUCGCGGGAGGGGCGUUGGCUGACGGAACGGGCGCAACCGACCCGUCUUGAA
rnacentral:rRNA from 1 species